AUGGACCCACAAGUCAGGUUGACCGUUAACUUUGACCGUUAUUACAAAUGGGGCCCACACGUCAACCCUCUUCUUCCUCCUCUCUCCCUCUCUUUGGCAUUUAUACAAACACCUCGGGUGCACCACCCGCCGACGUGCGGGCGUGCAGCCUGCUCCCAUCGGUCGAUGCUUCCAAUGGCCAGGCAACAAGAAAGAGCACAUAGCUUUGAUGAUCGCGAGGAGCUUCGCAUCGAAAAGAACAAGCCGACAACAACACCGAGGAGCCAUGGCAAGACCCUCCCUACCUCUGCUAUAUGUACCCUCGCAUGCCUCGCCGAGCAAAGCUCUCCACCUGACCGAUCCAUCCAUCUCCUCCCCAGCUACACAGCAACCAUGGCCCGUCGUGGCGGCGGCGGCGGUAGCAGCAGCGACGGCGGAAGCUGCACGCCGACGGCGUCUCUGGCCAGGUACAUCCCGCGGACACUCCGUGGCCGGAAGAAGCAGCAACUGCAACGGCACGGCCAGCCGUACCUCAUGGGGGGCAGCGGCGGGCGCCCGACGGGUACGCGGCGUCGGUGGAGCUCAGCGCGAGCGCCGGCUCCACGUGGCCGGCCGACUCGGUGGUGCGGGUGGUGCUCUGGAGCGGCAUCGUGGAGGUGUACGCGGGCGUGGUGCUCGCCUGCGCCGUCGUCGGCAACCACCCGCCGGGCCUCUGCCUCGCACACCCGGACGUCUUCCGCAACCCGCACGGCGCCACCGUGCGUCCGCUCGAGCCGCUCUUCCCGGGCCAGAAGGUGCUGCUGCUGCCCGAGACCACAGUGCGCCGGCUCCAGCGCGACAUCCCCGAGGGCUCCGUCGGGGCCAACCCCGACCACGACAAUCGCGAGGACGAGGAGGCGGCAGUGGUCGGCGGCGGAGGUGGCUUGCAGGUGCACACGAGGUGUUUGUAGAAAUGCCAAAGAGAGAGAGAGAGGAGGAAGAAGAGGGUUGAUGUGUGGGCCCCAUUUAUAA
rnacentral:rRNA from 1 species